rnacentral:rRNA from 1 species
GAUCCUGGCUCAGAGCGAACGCUGGCGGCAGGCCUAAUACAUGCAAGUCGAGCGGGUCCUUCGGGAUUAGCGGCGGACGGGUGAGUAACGCGUGGGAACGUGCCCUUUGGUACGGAACAACUGAGGGAAACUUCAGCUAAUACCGUAUGUGCCCUUCGGGGGAAAGAUUUAUCGCCAUUGGAGCGGCCCGCGUUGGAUUAGGUAGUUGGUGAGGUAAAGGCUCACCAAGCCUACGAUCCAUAGCUGGUCUGAGAGGAUGACCAGCCACACUGGGACUGAGACACGGCCCAGACUCCUACGGGAGGCAGCAGUAGGGAAUCUUGCGCAAUGGGCGAAAACCUGACGCAGCCAUGCCGCGUGAAUGAUGGAGGUCUUAGGAUUGUAAAAUUCUUUCACCGGGGACGAUAAUGACGGUACCCGGAGAAGAAGCCCCGGCUAACUUCGUG